rnacentral:tRNA from 1 species
UUAAUUGAAGCCAAAAAGAGGCGUAUUACUGUUAAUAAUAUAAUUGAAUUAAUAAAAUUCCAAUUAAG